UUUUUUUUUUUUAACCCGUUUGCUUAAAAAUUUUAGUCAACAUGACCUUAACAUGACACUUCCAGCAUUGUACUAAAUCCUGUUUUUGUAUGUAUCAAAAUUGUAACAUCUGACUUAAGAAUUGCAUUGUUGGGGCAGAUGUUUUCUUCUAGAUCUACAAUCACCAAGAGAUGAUUUUUAUUUUACAUCAGAAUCAAUGUUAACUUUCUGAAACACUGAAAUCAAAACUUUCUUUGCUUUGACUUUAUUUAAUUAUACUUAAGCUACAGAAGGUAACAUUAAGACUUCUGUAAGUUUAAUAAAUCUGAAAAGAUAGUAUUGGUGUUUGCUGAAGCACAGGCUUAUAGGGAGUUGACUUCCCCUUGUUACUCUCAAGUGCUUUUAAACAUUAAGAAAAGACAAAUGUCAAGAGUUAUGACAAAAGGUUCAAGCCUGUGCAGUCAUUGCCAUUUGCUGAACUGUUCCUAUAUGUGUUAAUGGUGUCUUGAAGAGCUAGGUCAAGCGAAAUCCUCUACACUGUCUUAAUGGGGCAAAGGGCUACAGGUUUGUACUGUAAGAAGACACCAUUUCCUGGUCAUGAGAAGCUGACUUGUGAGUUGCAUAAGUUAUUUCUGUUGUCAGCACACCAUCUAUGUCGCUCCCUGUUUGUUUUAAUGCUUAUAGCCCUAAGUGGAUUAGUUACAUAUUUUAGAAAAAAUGCUUAAUUUGAUAUUUUUUGAAGUAUUUUGUAAUAUUUGAUCCAAUUGCAUUUUUGUAGUAAAACGUUAAACAUUGCCCUUUAUCCGCAUGUGUCUGGCUCCUCACCUCCUGAAGUGACUGAGGCAUAUCUGUUAGAGCAGGCUCAGUAUCCUGGGUUAUCUUUAGGUGCCAUGAAUCUGAACAGGUAACCAAGUUUAAGGAAUUUGAAAAUAGAAAUUCUGCAUAGUUCAAGAAAACCUUUCUCUCCCUCCUGCCUAUUUACAAAGUAUUUAAACUUUAACUGCUCUUACCCACAGGGUUGUGAUAAAUCUGUUAGAAAAAUCUUCCCCAAAGAACCAGCAUGGGUCCUUUUCUUGUUCUAUUUAGUCUUAAGUUAGCUUUAAAGCUUGGGACUGU
rnacentral:lncRNA from 1 species